AAGUGUUUCAGUUUGUAGUACCAUUUUCUCGGUGGGGUCGAGCAAACACGCCAACCUUCGAUUCGAGAUCAAACCAUUACUUCAAUUUUUUGUUUCAUAAGGCUUACUCAGGGAAAGAUCUUAAGAAGGCCAAUGAGAAGUUGAUUUUAGUGAGAAAGAAAAAGCUAAUGCUCUUGAUGAGUUGAUUGAGGCACAGAGAGCUGAAAAA